CUUGCACCCAAACCCAAGAAUUUCAGUUUCUCCCAGCAGUGGUUUAAACAGUGGUGCGAACCGCAAGAGAAUCUUGUGGCCUCUGGGGGUCUGUACUGUGCCCUCUGCGUGAAUGUGGAGGUUCUACACCC
ensembl:snoRNA